CAGGACUGUGAGAACUGUGAUGGGGCAGCACCUCCACUUUGCCAAGAAAAAAACCUGGACACCUGAACCAAAUGGCUCAGAACUUCCUACAAUUAAGGGGGAGACACCAAGCUGUCAGAUGGGAGGAGGCUCUUUGAAGUGUGGAGAUAAGGACCCUUCUAACCUUCAGUCAGGUAUGAAAGCCAUUUCCAGCAGCACGGGAGCGUGUCCUGCCACUGGACUCUUCGUGGAAUAGCCCAGCUGAGUUCUUUCAGAUUCUUCAGAGGGGCUGGCACUGGCAGCUGCGUCAUCGUGGUGCCUUGAGAAAACACUCCUGCACAGUAUUUCUCAUGUAAGCAAAAGCUCUUAGCACUGAAAAUCUUUCCAAAAAAGGAUUCCCUUGAGCUGGUAAGA
rnacentral:lncRNA from 12 species